UUGAGUUAAAUUUUUAAAUUUCAAUAAUUUUAACAAUCCAAAUACCAAACUAUAUUAUUUUAAAAAUAUAUUAUUUAAUCUAAUUAAUAAUAAUUUUACAUUCCCACCAAAACCCUUUUACUUCCCCCGUCUGCCCUACCAUUUUCCCCUAAAUCAAAUUUUCAUUCCUAUUUCCUAUCCACAGAUCAAACUCAGCAUCCUUCUUCGGUUCUUCUUCAUCAGUUUCAGAGGUUAGGCAAAUCCCUCAGUCGUCCCUCACUUGUCCCCAAUCUCCCGUCCUUCAACGCAGCUGUGCGUACUAGGUGUUGUUGGUAUUGUUGCUGUAAAAGCUAUUGUUGUGGCAAAGGUUGUUGAUGCUGCUUCUGGAAAACAAAUUGCCCUUGGAUCUUCGAGAUUGAUGUUCCUUUUGGUCGUUCCAUUUUCUUCAGUCUUCACUCUUCACCUCGACUUUUCUACAUCUCCUUUACCCUAUGAAACAUUUCACUUUUUUUUUAAGAUUUGUGGGAUUGUUAUAGGUUCUGUUGAUUACCUCUUUCACUCACGAACUAACAAACCAUAAAUUUGCUCAGCCCAAAGACGAAGAGCAAUGAUUGACUUCUUUGGUCAUUUCAAUAAUUUUGUGUUUUUUUCCCCUUUUUCUUAUAUUUUAUUAUGGGAAUCAAGACUAGAAGUUUAGUAAUUUUUUAAUUUACUAGUUCGGUCUAUUGUUUUUGCCAGUCAAUUUAUGUAAAUCCGAGGACCACCAUUGAAUCGAGGAAAUCUUGGUCUUGUGGAUGUCUUAUUCAACUUUCAGAAUGAAAGGUAGCCAUAUAAUUUUUUUGCUAUUGUAGUUUGUUGAUAAGUAUCAAUGUCCCUACUUUUUGCAUAUUAUUUAAGUUGGAAUAACAACUUUGGAUUUGGAUCCUGUUUU
rnacentral:lncRNA from 1 species